CGCCGCGGCCCGUCGCCCGUGGCAGGGCCGGCCCCGUCCCGCCGCGCCAGGAGGUGAACUGUGCCUAGGGCCUCUCCGCGCUGUGGGCUCCGCUCCGACUCCACGUUCUUCACUAAGAGAAGCAGAAAGGUUUCUGUCUCCCUACUGGAUCCACCCAGCGCCCAGUCCUGGAGGUAGCCUUGUAAGGAGUAAUCUUACUUCAAAACCCAGGAAUAUGAAGCCAUAAAAGAAGGCUAAUUGGGACACGCUUCCAGAAUCCUACAGUUUGGCACUUGGAGACUUCCUAGACAUUGCUGGUUUUUGGUGCCAUUGUAAUCACUUGGAAUUGCUGUAUUUGAU